UUGGAACUGCGACGGAACCUCGGCCGGACCUUGACGAACAACGACCUUAACGGAAACGGAAAUACGAACAAAAAUUGCCAACGACCUCAACUCCCACCUUCUCUCUCGAACCUUGACGGGCUGUUGGUAGUAGGGUCGACGGACUGCCUUGCGUGCUGGAUGGUGAAGUGGUGGUGGUCUGGUUUAGAAGCUAAUGGGUGAUCGACAACGAAGGUCGUCGUUUGAGACGUCAAUGGCGUGACAGUGGGCCGGAGGUUGUUUCGUUACUCUGGCGACAUGACGAUGGGGGAUGAAGAAGUGGGGGGAGGCUACUGCUGGACGAGGCAGAAGCAGAAACGGGUGGUCGCUGGUUUCCGGCGGAACUGGAUACAGCAAUGUUGCUGGAUGCGGGGCUUGACUGGUUUAGCUGGUCGUUGAUGAGUUCUCUUUA
rnacentral:lncRNA from 1 species